UCUUUCUUUUUCUUUCUCUCUUUCUCUUUCUAUCUCCAUUCUUUCUCCUCUCUCAUUUCUUCCCCAAACCAAUCUCUUAGAACCCUAGCCUCAAAAUCAAGGCAACAAGGACAGUAGCUGGAAAUUGCCCAUUUUGUCAAGUGGGAGAUGAAUCAUAGUUUCAUUAAGUAUCAAUAUUACUCUGCUAUUCUGUUCAUCUAGCGAUCUCUUAUGCACCGAUGUGGUCUGUGCCUUUUUUUUUUCCACUUUACCUGCCUUGUUUCUAUGGAUAUUAAUAGCCCCAAAAUCACGGCAACAACGACGGCAAGUCGGCGACGAGUAUGGGUUCCAAGUAAUUCUUCUUUUUCUAUUGCAUUUUACUUAUUCUUAUUUUUCUUGGGUUUGAGUGCUAUUUUCUAUAACCAAAACAAGUUGAAGAAAGGGUGAAAGUUGUAAAAGUUCAUGACUGUUGUAGCAGUUUAUAUGUAAGAUUAAAGUCAAUAUCUGUCAAGUUGAAGAAAGGGUGAAGGUGUUUGUUGAAAUGCCUCAUUGAACGCCUCUAUUCGAAUCGUUUUGACUUUGCAAAGUCCGAAGCCCAGCGUACCAUUCAGCUUCAAGAGAAAUUGGGAAAGCUUAAAGGGGAAUUAAGAGAAGCUGAGGAUGCUUUAGUGAAGGCUCUUGCUGAUGGCAAAGGAGACUCGGUGUCUUUCGCCAGCUAAUAUGCCAUUAAGGUGCUAUUUUUUUAAAUGACUUACAAUUAAGUGUUUCUGUUUCACAUUAUACACUGGCAUCUCUAUCAGUAACUGAAAUAGAUGGUUCGAUAACAAAACACACUGGUGGUUCUAAUCCUGUAGGGGCACAUAGGCCAAAAAAUGGAAAAAGAACUUGGUAAAGAAGUGACUAAUCUUGAAGAAGCUCGAAAGAAGGAGGAAGAGGCUGGGAAGAGGGAGGAUGAGGCUAGGAAGAGGGAGGCAGACCUACAAGAAUUAGUUCGAAAAUUACUUCAAGAUGUAGGAUACGCAAACCAUCAAUUUGCUGGUGGGUCUGGACAACAAGAGUAACAACAUUCCAGGAAAGAUAAUUAGUUUAUUUUUUAUGUUGGUUGUUUAUGACUUAGUGUAUGUUGAUUUGAUAUUAUUUGGUAAUAUUUGGAUGAUGACAUCAAUUAUAUUAGUGUUAUUGUAUUAUAAGUAUCUUUUUUGUUAAUAUUUGUUGUUCUUGUUUGGGAAAUUCAGAUUUUGGUAUUGAU